rnacentral:rRNA from 1 species
UGCAAGUCGAACGGGAUUAAGUUUGUAGCAAUACAGACUUGGUCUAGUGGCGAACGGGUGCGUAACACGUGAGCAAUCUGCCGGGAAAUGGGGGAUAGCUUGCCGAAAGGCAAAUUAAUACCGCAUGUGGCCAGGAAGGACAUCCUUCCAAAGCUAAAGUCGCAAGACGUUUCCUGAUGAGCUCGCGGCCUAUCAGCUAGUUGGUGAGGUAACGGCUCACCAAGGCUAUGACGGGUAGCUGGUCUGAGAGGACGACCAGCCACACUGGAACUGAGACACGGUCCAGACACCUACGGGUGGCAGCAGUCGAGAAUUUUUCGCAAUGGGGGAAACCCUGACGGAGCGACGCCGCGUGGAGGAUGAAGGCGUUUUCGUUGUAAACUCCUGUCAAACGGGAACAAGAAAGUGAUAGUACCGUUAGAGGAAGAGACGGCUAACUCUGUGCCAGCAGCCGCGGUAAUACAGAGGUCUCAAGCGUUGUUCGGAUUCAUUGGGCGUAAAGGGUGCGUAGGUGGCUUGUUAAGUUGAAGGUGAAAUCUCGGGGCUCAACUCCGAAACUGCCUUCAAUACUGGCGAGCUCGAGGACUGUAGAGGAGAAUGGAAUUCACGGUGUAGCAGUGAAAUGCGUAGAUAUCGUGAGGAAGACCAGUGGCGAAGGCGAUUCUCUGGGCAGUUCCUGACACUGAGGCACGAAGGCCAGGGGAGCAAACGGGAUUAGAUACCCCGGUAGUCCUGGCAGUAAACGGUGCACGUUUGGUGUGGGGAAGGAUUCGACCCCUUCCGUGCCGGAGCUAACG